GACGAACGCUGGCGGCGUGCUUAACACAUGCAAGUCGAACGGAAAGGCCUCUUUCGGGGGGUACUCGAGUGGCGAACGGGUGAGUAACACGUGAGUAACCUGCCCUUGACUUUGGGAUAACUUCAGGAAACUGGGGCUAAUACCGGAUAGGAGCUCCUGCUGCAUGGUGGGGGUUGGAAAGUUUCGGCGGUUGGGGAUGGACUCGCGGCUUAUCAGCUUGUUGGUGGGGUAGUGGCUUACCAAGGCUUUGACGGGUAGCCGGCCUGAGAGGGUGACCGGCCACAUUGGAACUGAGAUACGGCCCAGACUCCUACGGGAGGCAGCAGUGGGGAAUAUUGCACAAUGGGUGGAAGCCUGAUGCAGCAACGCCGUGUGCGGGAUGACGGCCUUCGGGUUGUAAACCGCUUUCGCUCAUGACGAAGCUUUGUGUGACGGUAGUGGGUAAAGAAGCACCGGCUAACUACGU
rnacentral:rRNA from 1 species